UAGCCGUAAACGAUACUCGCUAGGUGUCGGCCACGGUGCGACCGUUGUCGGUGCCGUAGGGAAGCCGUGAAGCGAGCCACCUGGGAAGUACGGCCGCAAGGCUGAAACUUAAAGGAAUUGGCGGGGGAGCACUACAACGGGUGGAGCCUGCGGUUUAAUUGGACUCAACGCCGGGAAGCUCACCGGAUAAGACAGCGGAAUGAUUGCCGGGCUGAAGACCCUGCAUGACCAGCUGAGAGGUGGUGCAUGGCGUAGUCGUGU
rnacentral:rRNA from 1 species